rnacentral:rRNA from 1 species
AGUGAACGCUGGCGGUAGGCCUAACACAUGCAAGUCGAACGGCAGCACAGUAAGAGCUUGCUCUUACGGGUGGCGAGUGGCGGACGGGUGAGGAAUACAUCGGAAUCUACUUUUUCGUGGGGGAUAACGUAGGGAAACUUACGCUAAUACCGCAUACGACCUACGGGUGAAAGCAGGGGAUCUUCGGACCUUGCGCGAUUGAAUGAGCCGAUGUCGGAUUAGCUAGUUGGCGGGGUAAAGGCCCACCAAGGCGACGAUCCGUAGCUGGUCUGAGAGGAUGAUAAGCGACACUGGAACUGAAACACGGUCCAGACUCCUACGGGAGGCAGCAGUGGGGAAUAUUGGACAAUGGGCGCAAGCCUGAUCCAGCCAUACCGCGUGAGUGAAGAAGGCUUUCGGGUUGUAAAGCCCUUUUGUUGGGAAAGAAAAGCAGCAGGUUAAUACCCCGCUGUUCUGACGGUACCCAAAGAAUAAGCACCGGCUAACUUCGUG